GUCUCUUCUUCUCCCAGCAAUUGGAGCAGGUGUGCAGGCUUUAGGUGGGAGACACCUACUUAUCCGCACCUGACAACCCUUCUUCACUCUGGCUCCACGAGACCUGAAGUUUGGAAAUCAGCAUCCGAGCCAGUCAUCCAGCUUGUCUCAGGAUGUCAGCGUUCAGAGAAAACAGCAGGCCCAUGGGGCACAAUGUCACAUCCAUGUCAGGAUGAGAGUUUCAUGGGUGAUGAAGUCAGAAGGAGAGUCUUUGGGAAUUUCCCUGGAUAAAAGCAAUCUGGUGGUUUCAAGGGACUUGGCAUAAGGAACCCU
rnacentral:lncRNA from 1 species